rnacentral:misc_RNA from 1 species
GAUGAAGAACGCAGCGAAAUGCGAUAAGUAAUGUGAAUUGCAGAAUUCAGUGAAUCAUCGAAUCUUUGAACGCACCUUGCGCCCUUUGGCCAUUCCGAAGGGCAUGCCUGUUUGAGUAUCAUGAACACCUCAACUCUUUAUGGUUUUCCAUGAUGAGCUUGGACUCUGGGGGUUUUGCUGGCUCACAGUCGGCUCCUCUAAAAUAAAUCAGCUUACCAGUGUUUGGUGGGUAUCAUGGGUGUGAUAACUAUCUACGCUUGUGGUUUUUCCACCAGGUAACCUUCAGCAGUGGAGGUUCGCUGGAGCUCAUAGACGUCUCUCCUCAGUGAGGACAGCCCUUUGAAUGUUUGAUCUCAAAUCAGGUAGGACUACCCGCUGAACUUAAGCAUAUCAAUAAGCGGAGGA